rnacentral:rRNA from 1 species
GACGAACGCUGGCGGCGUGCCUAAUACAUGCAAGUCGAACGCUUCUUUUCCCACCGGAGCUUGCUCCACCGGGAAAAGAGGAGUGGCGAACGGGUGAGUAACACGUGGGUAACCUGCCCAUCAGAAGGGGAUAACACUUGGAAACAGGUGCUAAUACCGUAUAACAAUCGAAACCGCAUGGUUUCGUUUUGAAAGGCGCUUUACGGUGCCGCUGAUGGAUGGACCCGCGGUGCAUUAGCUAGUUGGUGAGGUAACGGCUCACCAAGGCCACGAUGCAUAGCCGACCUGAGAGGGUGAUCGGCCACAUUGGGACUGAGACACGGCCCAAACUCCUACGGGAGGCAGCAGUAGGGAAUCUUCGGCAAUGGACGAAAGUCUGACCGAGCAACGCCGCGUGAGUGAAGAAGGUUUUCGGAUCGUAAAACUCUGUUGUUAGAGAAGAACAAGGGUGAGAGUAACUGUUCACCCCUUGACGGUAUCUAACCAGAAAGCCACGGCUAACUACGUGCCAGCAGCCGCGGUAAUACGUAGGUGGCAAGCGUUGUCCGGAUUUAUUGGGCGUAAAGCGAGCGCAGGCGGUUUCUUAAGUCUGAUGUGAAAGCCCCCGGCUCAACCGGGGAGGGUCAUUGGAAACUGGGAGACUUGAGUGCAGAAGAGGAGAGUGGAAUUCCAUGUGUAGCGGUGAAAUGCGUAGAUAUAUGGAGGAACACCAGUGGCGAAGGCGGCUCUCUGGUCUGUAACUGACGCUGAGGCUCGAAAGCGUGGGGAGCAAACAGGAUUAGAUACCCUGGUAGUCCACGCCGUAAACGAUGAGUGCUAAGUGUUGGAGGGUUUCCGCCCUUCAGUGCUGCAGCUAACGCAUUAAGCACUCCGCCUGGGGAGUACGACCGCAAGGUUGAAACUCAAAGGAAUUGACGGGGGCCCGCACAAGCGGUGGAGCAUGUGGUUUAAUUCGAAGCAACGCGAAGAACCUUACCAGGUCUUGACAUCCUUUGACCACUCUAGAGAUAGAGCUUCCCCUUCGGGGGCAAAGUGACAGGUGGUGCAUGGUUGUCGUCAGCUCGUGUCGUGAGAUGUUGGGUUAAGUCCCGCAACGAGCGCAACCCUUAUUGUUAGUUGCCAUCAUUUAGUUGGGCACUCUAGCAAGACUGCCGGUGACAAACCGGAGGAAGGUGGGGAUGACGUCAAAUCAUCAUGCCCCUUAUGACCUGGGCUACACACGUGCUACAAUGGGAAGUACAACGAGUCGCGAAGUCGCGAGGCUAAGCUAAUCUCUUAAAGCUUCUCUCAGUUCGGAUUGUAGGCUGCAACUCGCCUACAUGAAGCCGGAAUCGCUAGUAAUCGCGGAUCAGCACGCCGCGGUGAAUACGUUCCCGGGCCUUGUACACACCGCCCGUCACACCACGAGAGUUUGUAACACCCGAAGUCGGUGAGGUAACCUUUUUGGAGCCAGCCGCCUAAGGUGGGAUAGAUGAUUGGGGUG